UACGUAGGUGGCAAGCGUUAUCCGGAUUUAUUGGGCGUAAAGCGAGCGCAGGCGGUUGCUUAGGUCUGAUGUGAAAGCCUUCGGCUUAACCGAAGAAGUGCAUCGGAAACCGGGCGACUUGAGUGCAGAAGAGGACAGUGGAACUCCAUGUGUAGCGGUGAAAUGCAUAGAUAUCACACAGAACACCGAUUGCGAAGGCAUCUCACGAAUCCGCGAUUGACGCUGAUGCACGAAAGCGUGGGUAUCAAACAGG
rnacentral:rRNA from 1 species